GGGCCCGCACAAGCGGUGGAGCAUGUGGUUUAAUUCGAUGAUACGCGAGGAACCUUACCAGGGCUUAAAUGUAGAUUGCAUUAGCUAGAGAUAGCUAUUUCUUCGGACUAUCUACAAGGUGCUGCAUGGUUGUCGUCAGCUCGUGCCGUGAGGUGUCAGGUUAAGUCCUAUAACGAGCGCAACCCCUGUUGUUAGUUGCCAGCGAGUCAAGUCGGGAACUCUAACAAGACUGCCAGUGCAAACUGUGAGGAAGGUGGGGAUGACGUCAAAUCAUCACGGCCCUUACGUCCUGGGCUACACACGUGCUACAAUGGUAGGGACAGAGAGCAGCCACUGGGCGACCAGGAGCAAAUCUAUAAACCCUAUCACAGUUCGGAUCGGAGUCUGCAACUCGACUCCGUG
rnacentral:rRNA from 1 species